rnacentral:rRNA from 1 species
CACACCGCCCGUCACACCAUGGGAGUUGGUUCGACCUUAAGCCGGUGCGCGAACCCAGCAAUGGGACGCAGCCGACCACGGUCGGGUCAGCGACUGGGGUG